CAUCAAGCUACGUCAAUGGGGGUUUAGAAAAAUCUGACGAGGUUUCUGAAGCUUCUCUUCGAAACCCUAGGAAGGAGCCCCCAGCUCAAAGAGAAACCCCGAUGUCACCCACAGUUGCGAUACUCAUAAUGCUAGCGAUGGUACUUACAACAACAUACCCGAGGCAUUUCCGGUGGAGCUCUUGAGCUUUUUUCUACUUGAGUGUCGGACUGCUAACGAUGUGUGGAUUUCUUCGCGUGAGUUAAAAUCCGUGAAAGAAAACUUUCAAAGGCAGCUGCUAUGCUGAACUUGUUAUUUGCACGUCAGUCUGAUCCAUUAUUGUAAAUGAUAUAUUUUUCAUUUUCAAGCUUUUAAAUGUGAAAAUCGUUCAUGUUUUUGUGAUGAGAAAUGUGUUGUGAAUCCAUGCUAGUGUUGUACUUUAUCGGGUUCGGGAAAUGAUGACAAGCUACAGAAAACGUUCAGAGGCAGCUGCUAUGCUGAACUUAUUAUUUGCACGUCAGUCUGAUCCCUUGUUAGUGUUGUAUUUCUCAUUUCCAAGUUUCUAAAUGUUAAAAGAUAUGUGGUUGGUUUGCUACUUUUGUUGUUUUUUGAUCAUUCACAAAGAAAAAGGUCUUUAUCUUUUCAUGUUUUUUUAUUUUCUUAUUUCGAAAAUCUUUUUAUGUUUUUUGGGAUGAGAAAUGUGAUGUGCAUCCAAGCGACUAUUUUACUUUAUUGGGUUUGGGAAAUGAUGAUAAGCUACAUAAUACUUUCAGAGGCAGUUGCUAUGCUGAACUUGUUAUUUGCACGUCAGUCUGAUCCCUUGUUGUUAAUGUUAUAUUUCUUGUUUCCAAGCUUCUAAAUCUUAAGAUUUUUAGUUACUUUGCUCCCCCUACCCUGAAAAGUUAUAAGCUCCUUUGGCCGUUGGGUUGCCUUUUGCCAGUAUGUCAUAUAACAUUGCUUUCAAAGUCUCGAUUUUGCUUUUGAACUCUCUUUCAAAAUCUCUAUGCCCUGUUUUCCAAAAUCUUCUUCUCAAAUUGGGGUCAGAAGACGUUGCCCAUGCUGCUAGUACAAAUUUGGCUUGACCCAAAUGUUUUCAGAGCAUGGAGAAAGGAGAUUAUAAACUAACUCAAAACUCUUAAAAACUUUUUUGAGUGUUAUUUCUUUUCUAUUAUAUUUUUUGUUUUCCCACAUCCAUUAUGUUCAUGGGCUACAAGGUGAAAUUUGGGAAAUGAAGACAAAUUGAAAUGUUCAACAGAGGUAGAUACUGUGCUGAACUCUAUUGCACGUCAGUCUGAUCCCUAAUAUUGUUCCUUUUAUCCAAGAUGACGAUGGUCUUUCUCUUAAAUCCUCAAAGAUCCUGUUGGAUUGGCCAAACUACAUUUCAUGGAAUUACCCCCCACAUACAUUUAUAUUCUUAGUUCAUUUAUUUGAAAUUCCUCAUUUUUGAAGUUUGUUUGUUUAUAUUUUUCGUUCUCCCUUCCAAUAGUUACUAUUGGGUGAUUUUGGUUGUACCAAUUUUUGGCACUUUAGGGAUAUAUACCUUAAAACAGCCAGAGAUUUGUAUGAAAUUUUCAUAUAUAGAGGGAAGAUGGUGUAACCAACAUUUUAUAAAAUCUCCCAUUUUUCAGGGCAUUCAAAUUCA